GGGCGCAUAACUCAGCGGUAGAGUGCAUCCUUCACACGGAUGAAGUCACAAGUUCAAAUCUUGUUGCGCCCA
rnacentral:tRNA from 1 species